UACGUAGGGGGCAAGCGUUGUCCGGAUUUAUUGGGCGUAAAGAGCGUGUAGGCGGCCCGGUAAGUCCGCUGUGAAAGUCGGGGGCUCAACCCUCGAAUGCCGGUGGAUACUGUCGGGCUAGAGUGCGGAAGAGGCGAGUGGAAUUCCUGGUGUAGCGGUGAAAUGCGCAGAUAUCAGGAGGAACACCAAUUGCGAAGGCAGCUCGCUGGGACGUAACUGACGCUGAGACGCGAAAGCGUGGGGGAGCAAACAGG
rnacentral:rRNA from 1 species